AGUAAGGAAUAUUGGGCAAUGGACGCAAGUCUGACCCAGCCAUGCCGCGUGGAGGAUGAAGGUCCUCUGGAUUGUAAACUUCUUUUAUCUGGGAAGAAACCCACGGUUUCUACUGUGGUUGACGGUACCAGAUGAAUAAGCACCGGCUAACUCCGUGCCAGCAGCCGCGGUAAUACGGAGGGUGCAAGCGUUAUCCGGAUUCACUGGGUUUAAAGGGUGCGUAGGCGGAUUGGGAAGUCCGUGGUGAAAUCCCCGAGCUUAACUCGGGAACUGCCGUGGAUACUCUCAGUCUUGAAUAUCGUGGAGGUAAGCGGAAUAUGUCAUGUAGCGGUGAAAUGCUUAGAGAUGACAUAGAACACCAAUUGCGAAGGCAGCUUACUACACGGUCAUUGACGCUGAGGCACGAAAGCGUGGGGAUCAAA
rnacentral:rRNA from 1 species